AGUGAUGAGCGUGGUCUUUUCGUGUUGUUGUUGUGGAGUUUAUGGCGUCAAAUAAGUUUAUGGUGACCGCCCGAACAUGGACUGCGGCCGAGGGAUGUUUUGCCCGUUUUGUGGCAAACACAUGAACAGCUUAACGCGGUUUUGCUUUACGUGUGGUCGGUGUUUUGAGUUUUUAAAGGACGCGGACCAGACGGAAACACCAGACAUACUGCAUCAUUGCGUUCAAUAUUUUAACGAGGGUCACUCGUACGCUGUAAUCGUGGACAUGAUGUCAAGUCUACACGGUGUAAACAUCAGCUUGAGGACUCUUAAAAGUAAACUGAACGAAGCCGGGUUGUACCGCAGAAAGGAUUAUUCCUCGCCAAACGCCGUGAGUAACGCCAUCAGAUUUGAACUUCGUGGACCUGGACAACUACUCAAUGGGACCUAACUAUAUGUGGCACGCAGAUGGUUAUGACAAACUUAAGCCAUUCGGUUUGGACAUUUCGGGAUGCAUAGAUGGAUUUUCACGUAAAGUAUUGUGGCUUCAAUGUGGACCAACAAAUAAUAACCCAACAGUGAUUGCUCACUAUUUCAUGUCAUGUGUGCGAAACCUCGGUGUCAUCCCCAUGAGACUGAGGACUGAUUGCGGCACUGAGAACGGCAUAAUGGCUGCAAUUCAAUGUACCCUACGCCACCAUCACAGUGACUACUACUCUGGAGCGUCCAGCCACAUGUACGGCUCAUCUAUAAAUAACCAGCGUAUUUAGUCCUGGUGGUCUAUAUUUAGAAAGGGAAGGUCUCAGUUCUGGAUGGAGUUAUUUGCCGACCUUAGAGAUGCCGGAUACUUCAACGGGAGUCAUGAGCAUCAAUGCCUAUUGAGAUAUUGCUUUGGUGAUGUUAUUCAGAAGGACUUGGAUGAGUGUGUGAGACUGUGGAACAGCCACAGGAUUCGCCCUUCCAGAACAGCAGCAUGUCCAGGAGGAGUGCCCAAUGAACUCUACUACUUACCACACAGGUUUGGCUCCAGAGACUGCGGAUUUCAAAGUGAACAAGCUGAACUGGAUGCCCUUCCUGAGGCUAGCCUGUCAAUGACUCCUUGUGGGGACCCAAACAUGCAGGAGUACUUGGACUUUGCCAUGGAACACAAUCAGUUACAGAAGCCAGACAACUGGGAGUCUGCAUCCGAACUGUACAUGAAACUAAAAGAAAUGGCUCAGCUAUGAAAUGAUCAAAAAGGGAGGGUUUUUUAUAGUGGUGGAAUACUGCUGUCUGUCUGAACACAAUAUUUAUGAAUCUGUCACCCAAAGCUUAAUUGUUUUAAAGUGUGAAGUAAAUUAAUCAAAAAUAGUAAUCAGUAUUUAUUACACUUUUGUAGUAUUGAGAGUAAUGGAUCUAAAACAUUUUCAAAAUGUUUACUGUGAGAAAAGAACAUGCUCACAUACAGUAACAUUAUAAAAACAACUUUGGUAACUGCACUUUAAAAGUGCACCUUUAAUAGGGUUGGGCAUCAAGAACCAAUUCCUACUUGGAAUAGUUAAAAAAAAUUACGAUUCCAUCGGAAUUGUUUCUUUAUUGGAAUCGUUUUGGAGGAUUGGGUUUCAAAUCUGAUCAUGGGGUUCCAAAUUUAACAUGCGCAAGUUUUGGUUUCUGUAGCGGCCAGGUGCUUGUUGUGUUGCAGCCAUGGAGCACAGUAAGCGGUGCUCUAGUGUGGCUUUAUUUUACAUUGAAAAAGCCCCGUCAAACUGCAACCCACCUUUGAAUCAAAAUAAAACGUUCCUCUUAUUUGUGAAAUAAGCAUGUGACCCGUUUCAACUCCACCACUCAAAGAAUCGGAAUCGA